rnacentral:rRNA from 1 species
GGAAUAGUCUCGGGAAACUGGGAGUAAUGCCUUAUAAGAUACGUUUGUCGCAUGGCAUUUGUAUUAAACGCUCCGGCGCCAUAGGAUGGACCCGCGUCCCAUUAGCUAGUUGGUGAGAUAACAGCUCACCAAGGCCACGAUGGGCAACCGGUCUGAGAGGGCGAACGGUCACACUGGAACUGAGACACGGUCCAGACUCCUACGGGAGGCAGCAGUGGGGAAUAUUGCGCAAUGGGGGCAACCCUGACGCAGCAAUACCGCGUGAGUGAAGAAGGUUUUCGGAUCGUAAAGCUCUGUUAUUGGGGAAGAAAAAAAGACGGUACCCAAGAAGAAAGUUCCGGCUAACUACGUGCCAGCAGCCGCGGUAAUACGUAGGGAACAAGCGUUGUCCGGAUUUACUGGGCGUAAAGGGCACGCAGGCGGUUUUUUAAGUCAGAUGUGAAAGGCCACAGCUCAACUGUGGACAUGCAUUUGAAACUGAAAGACUUGAGUAUUGGAGAGGCAAGUGGAAUUCCUAGUGUAGCGGUGAAAUGCGUAGAUAUUAGGAGGAACACCGGUGGCGAAGGCGGCUUGCUGGAC